CGGGGCGGGCGUUAGGACCCGGAAGAGGAGCAGGAAGCAGUAGCGGCCGGCGGACAGACUGUCAUGGCGGACCAAAACAAGCCAGAAAGCGCAGAUAACUUCUUUAAUGAAAUAUUAAGUCCAUGUGAGCUGUUUGCAGCCCGCUCCAGGAGCCAUAAGAUCCCGGCCCGAGG